UAGCCUCAGUAACGGCGAAGUGAAGCGGCUACAGCUCAAAUUUGAAAUCUGGCCUCCUUUGGGGGUCCGAGUUGUAAUUUGCAGAGGAUGCUUUGGCAUUGGCGGCGGUCUAAGUUCCUUGGAACAGGACAUCGCAGAGGGUGAGAAUCCCGUACGUGGGCGCCUGCCUUUGCCGUGUAAAGCUCCUUCGACGAGUCGAGUUGUUUGGGAAUGCAGCUCUAAAUGGGAGGUAAAUUUCUCCUAAAGCUAAAUACCGGCCAGAGACCGAUAGCGCACAAGUAGAGUGAUCGAAAGAUGAAAAGUACUUUGGAAAGAGAGUCAAAUAGCACGUGAAAUUGUUGAAAGGGAAGCGCUUGCAGCCAGACUUGCCCGCAGUUGCUCACCUAGGCUUUCGCCUGGGGCACUCUUCUGCGGGCAGGCCAGCAUCAGUUUGGGCGGUCGGAUAAAGGCCUCUGUCAUGUACCACCCUUCGGGGUGGCCUUAUAGGGGAGGCGUAAUGCGACCAGCCCGGACUGAGGUCCGCGCAUCUGCUAGGAUGCUGGCGUAAUGGCUGUAAGCGGCCCGUCUUGAAACACGGACCAAGGAGUCUAACAUCUAUGCGAGUGUUUGGGUGUCAAGCCCGGGCGCGCAAUGAAAGUGAACGGAGGUGGGAACCUUUCGGGGUGCACCAUCGACCGAUCCUGAAGUCUUCGGAUGGAUUUGAGUAAGAGCAUAGCUGUUGGGACCCGAAAGAUGGUGAACUAUGCUUGAAUAGGGUGAAGCCAGAGGAAACUCUGGUGGAGGCUCGCAGCGGUUCUGACGUGCAAAUCGAUCGUCAAAUUUGGGCAUAGGGGCGAAAGACUAAUCGA
rnacentral:rRNA from 1 species